GGGUGCAUUACAGGGCAAGUUCUCUUUGGCAGAUAGUAACAACUAUGGUAUGCAUAUGAGCCAUGCAAUACUUUUGAGUGAACAAUCUGCCAAAGGAGAUUUGCCCAGCAAUUCUCCU
rfam:Cajanus cajan Scaffold134655_10, whole genome shotgun sequence.